rnacentral:rRNA from 1 species
AACGAACGUUGGCGGCAUGGAUUAGGCAUGCAAGUCGAGCGAGAAGAGUUUUGAAGCUUGCUUUAGAACUCGGACAGCGGCGAAAGGGAGAGUAACGCGUAGUUCUGUGCCCUAGGGUCCGGAAUAGCCACGGGAAACUGUGGGUAAUGCCGGAUAAUAUCCCCGGAUCAAAGGUGUGAUUCCGCCCUAGGAGCAGACUGCGUCCUACUAGCUAGUUGGUGGGGUAAUGGCCCACCAAGGCAAUGAUGGGUAGCGGGUGUGAGAGCAUGACCCGUCUCACUGGGACUGAGACACUGCCCAGACACCUACGGGUGGCUGCAGUCGAGAAUCUUCGGCAAUGGGCGAAAGCCUGACCGAGCGAUGCCGCGUGCGGGAUGAAGGCCCUCGGGUUGUAAACCGCUGUCGUAGGGGAGGAAGGUUCCGUGAAGAGCGGAAUUUGACCUAUCCUAGGAGGAAGUACGGGCUAAGUUCGUGCCAGCAGCCGCGGUAACAC